rnacentral:rRNA from 1 species
AAAUUGAAGAGUUUGAUCAUGGCUCAGAUUGAACGCUGGCGGCAGGCCUAACACAUGCAAGUCGAGCGGUAGCACAGAGAGCUUGCUCUCGGGUGACGAGCGGCGGACGGGUGAGUAAUGUCUGGGAAACUGCCUGAUGGAGGGGGAUAACUACUGGAAACGGUAGCUAAUACCGCAUAAUGUCGCAAGACCAAAGUGGGGACCUUCGGGCCUCAUGCCAUCAGAUGUGCCCAGAUGGGAUUAGCUAGUAGGUGGGGUAAUGGCUCACCUAGGCGACGAUCCCUAGCUGGUCUGAGAGGAUGACCAGCCACACUGGAACUGAGACACGGUCCAGACUCCUACGGGAGGCAGCAGUGGGGAAUAUUGCACAAUGGGCGCAAGCCUGAUGCAGCCAUGCCGCGUGUGUGAAGAAGGCCUUCGGGUUGUAAAGCACUUUCAGCGGGGAGGAAGGCGUUAAGGUUAAUAACCUUGGCGAUUGACGUUACCCGCAGAAGAAGCACCGGCUAACUCCGUGCCAGCAGCCGCGGUAAUACGGAGGGUGCAAGCGUUAAUCGGAAUUACUGGGCGUAAAGCGCACGCAGGCGGUCUGUCAAGUCGGAUGUGAAAUCCCCGGGCUCAACCUGGGAACUGCAUUCGAAACUGGCAGGCUAGAGUCUUGUAGAGGGGGGUAGAAUUCCAGGUGUAGCGGUGAAAUGCGUAGAGAUCUGGAGGAAUACCGGUGGCGAAGGCGGCCCCCUGGACAAAGACUGACGCUCAGGUGCGAAAGCGUGGGGAGCAAACAGGAUUAGAUACCCUGGUAGUCCACGCCGUAAACGAUGUCGAUUUGGAGGUUGUGCCCUUGAGGCGUGGCUUCCGGAGCUAACGCGUUAAAUCGACCGCCUGGGGAGUACGGCCGCAAGGUUAAAACUCAAAUGAAUUGACGGGGCCCGCACAAGCGGUGGAGCAUGUGGUUUAAUUCGAUGCAACGCGAAGAACCUUACCUGGUCUUGACAUCCACAGAACUUAGCAGAGAUGCUUUGGUGCCUUCGGGAACUGUGAGACAGGUGCUGCAUGGCUGUCGUCAGCUCGUGUUGUGAAAUGUUGGGUUAAGUCCCGCAACGAGCGCAACCCUUAUCCUUUGUUGCCAGCGGUUAGGCCGGGAACUCAAAGGAGACUGCCAGUGAUAAACUGGAGGAAGGUGGGGAUGACGUCAAGUCAUCAUGGCCCUUACGACCGGGCUACACACGUGCUACAAUGGCAUAUACAAAGAGAAGCGACCUCGCGAGAGCAAGCGGACCUCAUAAAGUAUGUCGUAGUCCGGAUUGGAGUCUGCAACUCGACUCCAUGAAGUCGGAAUCGCUAGUAAUCGUAGAUCAGAAUGCUACGGUGAAUACGUUCCCGGGCCUUGUACACACCGCCCGUCACACCAUGGGAGUGGGUUGCAAAAGAAGUAGGUAGCUUAACCUUCGGGAGGGCGCUUACCACUUUGUGAUUCAUGACUGGGGUGAAGUCGUAACAAGGUAACCGUAGGGGAACCUGCGGUUGGAUCACCUCCUUACCUUAAAGAA